rnacentral:lncRNA from 1 species
AUCUCACUGCGGGGCUCGGGAAGGAGGAAAGGAGUGAGCAUGUCCUGCUCCUGCAUGUCCCUGCUUAAGCUCAGGACUGGCCCUUCCAGGCCAAGGACCCCAGCAUAGACCCCAGGACAGGGCCCCAAGGAUCCCUGGCUCAUGAGAGCGGCUUGCUGGGCUGCCCCAAGAGAGCCUGAAGGAAACACAUUGUUGAGCUGAGCUGACGUCGCUGUUUCUUCCAGACUGCUCUCUAAAGUGGGCAGGUUCUGGAGCCUCAGCCACAGCCCCCCCCCGCCCAGGAACAGGGACCCCUGAGGACAAGACACAAAUGGGAAGCUCCAGUCCCUGCGCACAACUGUAUCUAUGAAAUUCUUUUCAUCUUUGUUUUGAUGAGCAAAGUUCAAUGCCAGAAUA